UAAGGAAUAUUGGUCAAUGGACGAAAGUCUGAACCAGCCAUGCCGCGUGGAGGAUUAAGGCCCUCUGGGUUGUAAACUCCUUUUAUCUGGGAAGAAAUGUACUUUUUCUUGAGUACUUGACGGUACCAGAGGAAUAAGCACCGGCUAACUCCGUGCCGGCAGCCGCGGUAAGACGGAGGGGGCUAGCGUAGUUCGGAAUUACUGGGCGUAAAGCGUACGUAGGCGGAUGAGCAAGUUGGGGGUGAAAUCCCGGGGCUUAACCUCGGAAUUGCACUCAAAACUGCACGUCUUGAGAACGGGAGAGGGUAGGGGAAUUCCUAGUGUAGAGGUGAAAUUCGUAGAUAUUAGGAAGAACACCAGUGGCGAAGGCGCCUUACUGGCUCGGUACUGACGCUGAGGUACGAAAGCGUGGGGAGCAAACA
rnacentral:rRNA from 1 species